GCAGUCGAACGAACCUUCGGGUUAGUGGCGGACGGGUGAGUAACGCGUGGGAAUCUGCCCUCAGGAGGGGGAUAACGGCCGGAAACGGCCGCUAAUACCCCAUAUGCCGAGAGGUGAAAUGAAUUUCGCCUGAGGAUGAGCCCGCGUCUGAUUAGCUAGUUGGUGAGGUAAGAGCUCACCAAGGCAUCGAUCAGUAGCUGGUCUGAGAGGAUGAUCAGCCACACUGGGACUGAGACACGGCCCAGACUCCUACGGGAGGCAGCAGUGGGGAAUUUUCCGCAAUGGGCGAAAGCCUGACGGAGCAACGCCGCGUGAGGGAUGAAGGCCUCUGGGCUGUAAACCUCUUUUAUCAAGGAAGAAGAUCUGACGGUACUUGAUGAAUAAGCCACGGCUAAUUCCGUGCCAGCAGCCGCGGUAAUACGGGAGUGGCAAGCGUUAUCCGGAAUCAUUGGGCGUAAAGCGUCCGCAGGCGGCCCAACAAGUCUGCUGUUAAAAAGUGGAGCUUAACUCCAUCAUGGCAGUGGAAACUGUUGGGCUCGAGUGUGGUAGGGGCAGAGGGAAUUCCCGGUGUAGCGGUGAAAUGCGUAGAUAUCGGGAAGAACACCAGUGGCGAAGGCGCUCUGCUGGGCCAUCACUGACGCUCAUGGACGAAAGCCAGGGGAGCGAAAGGGAUUAGAUACCCCUGUAGUCCUGGCCGUAAACGAUGAACACUAGGUGUCGGGGGAAUCGACCCCUCCGGUGUCGUAGCCAACGCGUUAAGUGUUCCGCCUGGGGAGUACGCACGCAAGUGUGAAACUCAAAGGAAUUGACGGGGGCCCGCACAAGCGGUGGAGUAUGUGGUUUAAUUCGAUGCAACGCGAAGAACCUUACCAGGAUUUGACAUCCUGCGAAUCUCUUGGAAACUUGAGAGUGCCUUCGGGAGCGCAGUGACAGGUGGUGCAUGACUGUCGUCAGCUCGUGUCGUGAGAUGUUGGGUUAAGUCCCGCAACGAGCGCAACCCACGUCUUUAGUUGCCAGCAUUUAGUUGGGCACUCUAGAGAGACCGCCGGUGAUAAACCGGAGGAAAGGGGUGGAUGACGUCAAGUCAUCAUGCCCCUU
rnacentral:rRNA from 1 species